AAUGAUGUUGUACAUCAUGCAGACAGCUCAGAAGAAGAAGCAGGAAUGUUUGACUGGAAAUAUAAACGAUGUUGUACAUCAUGCAGAUAGCUUAGGCGAAAAAGAGAUUGGUGAAAUGGAGAAUGAGACUAACUACGGUAAAAAAAAUAACGAAUAUUAAA
rnacentral:lncRNA from 1 species